rnacentral:tRNA from 1 species
UUAAAUGAAACCAAACAGAGGUAUAUCACUGUUAAUGAUAAAAUUGAAUUUUUUCCAUUUAAA